rnacentral:precursor_RNA from 12 species
UCUCCUGUUACCAUGUCCUCCAUAGGCCCCAGUUGUACAGAUGUCACAUUUUAUAAUUUAUGUUAAAAGUCACAUCAUGUACAACAGGGGCAUUUGGUGAAAAACCUUCUUGCCAGAC